GACGAACGCUGGCGGCGUGCUUAACACAUGCAAGUCGAACGAUGAAGCGGUGCUUGCACCGUGGAUUAGUGGCGAACGGGUGAGUAAUACGUGAGUGACCUACCUUUGACUCUGGGAUAAGCCUGGGAAACUGGGUCUAAUACCGGAUACGACCAAUCUCUGCAUGGGGUGUUGGUGGAAAGCGUUAUGGAGUGGUUUUAGAUGGGCUCACGGCCUAUCAGCUUGUUGGUGAGGUAAUGGCUUACCAAGGCGACGACGGGUAGCCGGCCUGAGAGGGUGACCGGCCACACUGGGACUGAGACACGGCCCGGACUCCUACGGGAGGCAGCAGUGGGGAAUAUUGCACAAUGGGCGCAAGCCUGAUGCAGCGACGCCGCGUGAGGGAUGACGGCCUUCGGGUUGUAAACCUCUGUUAGCAUCGAAGAAGCGAAAGUGACGGUAGGUGCAGAGAAAGCGCCGGCUAACUACGUGCCAGCAGCCGCGGUAAUACGUAGGGCGCGAGCGUUGUCCGGAAUUAUUGGGCGUAAAGAGCUUGUAGGCGGUUGGUCGCGUCUGCUGUGAAGGCCGGGGCUUAACUCCGGUUUUGCAGUGGGUACGGGCUAACUAGAGUGCAGUAGGGGAGACUGGAAUUCCUGGUGUAGCGGUGGAAUGCACAGAUAUCAGGAGGAACACCGAUGGCGAAGGCAGGUCUCUGGGCUGUAACUGACGCUGAGAAGCGAAGGCAUGGGGAGCGAACAGGAUUAGAUACCCUGGUAGUCCAUGCCGUAAACGUUGGGCACUAGGUGUGGGGGACAUUCCACGUUUUCCGCGCCGUAGCUAACGCAUUAAGUGCCCCGCCUGGGGAAUACGGCCGCAAGGCUAAAACUCAAAGGAAUUGACGGGGGCCCGCACAAGCGGCGGAGCAUGCGGAUUAAUUCGAUGCAACGCGAAGAACCUUACCAAGGCUUGACAUGCAUUAGAUCGCGUCAGAGAUGGCGUUUCCCUUCGGGGCUGGUGUACAGGUGGUGCAUGGUUGUCGUCAGCUCGUGUCGUGAGAUGUUGGGUUAAGUCCCGCAACGAGCGCAACCCUCGUUCUAUGUUGCCAGCGGUUCGGCCGGGGACUCAUAGGAGACUGCCGGGGUCAACUCGGAGGAAGGUGGGGAUGACGUCAAAUCAUCAUGCCCCUUAUGUCUUGGGCUUCACGCAUGCUACAAUGGCCGGUACAGAGGGUUGCGAUACUGUGAGGUGGAGCUAAUCCCUUAAAGCCGGUCUCAGUUCGGAUUGGGGUCUGCAACUCGACCCCAUGAAGUCGGAGUCGCUAGUAAUCGCAGAUCAGCAACGCUGCGGUGAAUACGUUCCCGGGCCU
rnacentral:rRNA from 1 species